ensembl:snoRNA SNORA74 Small nucleolar RNA SNORA74
CCCAGCUAUAGGCAACUGCCUAGGCUGCCUUGUACCUAAGCAAGUCUAACACUGCUGGGAGAAAAACAGCCAAUAGCUGGAGGGUAUUCUGGGCCUGGUUAAUGCCAAAUU